rnacentral:rRNA from 1 species
GACGAACGCUGGCGGCGUGCUUAACACAUGCAAGUCGAACGGAAAGGCCCUGCUUGCAGGGUACUCGAGUGGCGAACGGGUGAGUAACACGUGGGUGAUCUGCCCUGCACUUCGGGAUAAGCUUGGGAAACUGGGUCUAAUACCGGAUAGGAGCCAUCUUUAGUGUGGUGGUUGGAAAGUUUUUUCGGUGUAGGAUGAGCUCGCGGCCUAUCAGCUUGUUGGUGGGGUAAUGGCCUACCAAGGCGGCGACGGGUAGCCGGCCUGAGAGGGUGUACGGCCACAUUGGGACUGAGAUACGGCCCAGACUCCUACGUGAGGCAGCAGUGGGGAAUAUUGCACAAUGGGCGCAAGCCUGAUGCAGCGACGCCGCGUGGGGGAUGAAGGCCUUCGGGUUGUAAGCUCCUUUCGCUAGGGACGAAGCGUUUUUGUGACGGUACCUAGAUAAGAAGCACCGGCUAACUACGUG